GUUGGGUAACACUAACUGGAGGACCGAACCGACUAAUGUUGAAAAAUUAGCGGAUGACUUGUGGCUGGGGGUGAAAGGCCAAUCAAACCGGGAGAUAGCUGGUUCUCCCCGAAAGCUAUUUAGGUAGCGCCUCGUGAAUUCAUCUCCGGGGGUAGAGCACUGUUUCGGCAAGGGGGUCAUCCCGACUUACCAACCCGAUGCAAACUGCGAAUACCGGAGAAUGUUAUCACGGGAGACACACGGCGGGUGCUAACGUCCGUCGUGAAGAGGGAAACAACCCAGACCGCCAGCUAAGGUCCCAAAGUCAUGGUUAAGUGGGAAACGAUGUGGGAAGGCCCAGACAGCCAGGAUGUUGGCUUAGAAGCAGCCAUCAUUUAAAGAAAGCGUAAUAGCUCACUGGUCGAGUCGGCCUGCGCGGAAGAUGUAACGGGGCUAAACCAUGCACCGAAGCUGCGGCAGCGACACUAUGUGUUGUUGGGUAGGGGAGCGU
rnacentral:rRNA from 1 species